GUUUUGUCCUCGGCUUGGGAUGUUAUUUGCGGUCCUGCCAUUGGAUCUUGACUUCCUUUGCUUUCCACCUCAGCUUUGUCUGUCUACUUUUCCUGAAUUCAUUUGUGUUUUCUCUCUCUUUCUCUUUCCUCCUCUUUGUCCUACCAUUUUUCUACUUUUGCUUUUGCUUUUGCUUUUGCUUUUGCUUUAAAGCUAUUUCACUCUUCCAUUGAAGGUCAUUCCGAGUUUUCUAUUGAAGCGUGUCUGAGCUUACUUUCUUCCAUUAUAGCAAAGCUUUUUCCCGACUUUCCUCACAGCAUCAUCUCUACUUGCAACCAUUCUCUCCAUUUUUAGGGUUCAAAAUGGAGCCGACAACGAGCGAGGAAGUAAGUGAUUUGGAGCUUCUCAUCCUCUUAUUUUGUCGUUUGAGAGCACCUGAGUAAGUGUCAGUGAUCUUCUCAUCCAUGGAAGCGUACCUCUAGGUUCUCCAUUGAAGCAGCUUCUAUGUCUAUCUAUUUUCCAUCCACGCCGCUACUGAGUUGACAGAUUGAGGCUACAGCUCUGGUGGUUUGAUCAAUCUCAAUAUUGAGGGUUUGAUCAAUCUCAAUUACGUGCUGCAAUGUGAUUUUGGUAAUGGCGGUGAGGUGGUCGGUUUUCAGAGGAAAGGUACAUUGUAGCGGUUUCAGUUGAUGAAUUAGGUCGGGUUUACAAUUUUGUUAACGAAGUGGAGUGUCAUUUGAUUGCCUGAUUUGUUCCAAGGAGUGUUUCAAGGAAUCUUGGAGCUUUCAUAAAUCAGUGCAUUCAAAGGCAAAUACAUCUUCUUUACAAACUAAUGUUGUUGGGGACAAAAAAAAGUGAAGGUUGGCUUUAUUGCUUACAAAAAGGACAAUCUCAGACUUCAAAACUUCCGUAUUUCAAUUGGACAGAGUAUCAUGUCAACAUUACUCUUUUGUGGAUACAUUUCUGAUUACAACCCUUCUUUUUACUUAUAAUUUUGUAUAUGUUUAAACUAUGAUUUACUAUUACUGUGGUUAUGAAUGAAAACACGCAUCUUGGUGUUGACAUCUCAUAAAUUUUGACCUUUACUGAACUGGAACCUUUUCCCAUGUAGAUCAUUAAGGUCGUACCCCAUAUCAAGUUACCGUACUAUACCAAAGCACAUUGAGCUACCUGAUUGGGAUAUGGAUGGUAUCCCUAAGAUUGAGCCUGAGAGCAGCCUGCAGCACAUUGUCGAGAUUAAAACUCAGAGCUGAUAUAGAGAAUGAGGGAGACUUGCAAGAUUGCUAGGUAGGUUUUGGAUGCGGCUGCGCGUAUUAUUUGACCAUGCAUUACAAUAGAUGAGAUUGAUCGAGUAGUCUAUGAAGGUACUAUAGCUGCAGAGCAAAAGAGGAUGAGAUCGAGUAGAAGGAACGAGUUCAAUCUAUAUUCACCCUCUUAUGGAGUGUGCUGCAGAUGUCAACUUCAGAAUCCUCACCGUUCAAAUGGAUAAGUUCUAUCUUUAAGAGUUCAUCUUUUGAAGAUAAUCCUGAAAUUAAGGUUUUAUCUGCUCUACACAAGGAGCCUUUUGAUAACUCCCGGAUUUAUGUCCUGAUUGUGUCAAUAUAGCUCAUUUUAGUUAUUCUACAAUACAUUGAAGCACACCUCAUGUUUAUAGAUCUCAAAAUCUCUUUAUGUUCUUCUAGGCUUCUACUUUGUUCACACUUGUGACCAUAGGAUCGUCAUCAACUUGACAGUUGGAAUCCUACCUCAUGUUGACAAUUUUGCCCACAUUGGAGGCUUUAUAUCAGGAUUUCUAUUUGGGUUCAUGUUACUUUUAUGCCCUCGAUUUGGGUGGUUGGAGCAUGACAAAAUGCCGGAACAUCCUAACAUGCACGUGUGAAAUUCAAAUACUUCUCGUAUGUAUUGGUGUUACUACUUCCUGCUGGGUUCACCGACCAACCCCUUUUCUGGUUCUCGGAAAAUCUAGAUCCUCCGCCGGAUCGGAAUUGCCUUGAAGCUGACAUGUCAAUCUCCAUUCCGGUGCCCCCGGUCACCAGGCCACCUACCGCCGCUGUUCUGCUUCCACAAAUGGUGAGUGGAUUAUUAGAAACGUAAUCUUCGCUUGAUUUUGCUUAAUUUAUGUAUUGAGAGCUGUUUAAUUGUUAUGCUUUAUUUUUACUAAGUUGAAAUUUUGUGGUUAUUAUUUGUUGAAUAUUGUUUAUAAUCUUGAUUGAUGAUAUUGGCAUGCCUCGAAAAUUGAGGUUUGGUAACUAUUUUUGAUUCAGAUUUCAAUCCGCAUGCACACAUUCAAGCAAUGAAUCGUGCUCAACGAAAUGAACAAUCAAAAUGUCUUUUGGUUUGAAGAAUGCAUUUGUUAAAAUGAAAUGUUGAUAUAAAUCAGUUGAAUUUUCAUUUUAAAUUCUGAUGUUGGUUUUGAUUUUUGCUUUUUAGGCUUUGCCAAAUCUGCAAAUUAUUGAUUACCCAAGCUUCAAGCUUGUUCUUGUUACGGUAUUGUUGUUCCCUUGUCUGAAAAAGAUGUUAGUUUCUUAAUUCCCCCAGUCCCCGCGAUUGUUAGUUUCUGCUUCAAGCUUGUUCUUGUUACACUAUAAAUUAAUUAUUGUCUGAUUAGGAGAUAUGAUAGUUGGCAAUAAAUAAGAACUCCAACUCUAAGACCUGCUGAAUUUUCUUUUAGAGUAAGAAAGAUAGAACCAAGUUUGUGUUUCUUACUUGUAAGAGUAUUGUGUAUCUUAAUGGAAAAAUGCAUGAGACUAAUUUCAGAAAGAGGAAAAGCGACUAUCUGCCAGUUUUAUUUAAUAUCUAAUACUUCGUAUUAGAUGAGUUAAUUUGGUGGCCUUUGGUGUUUUUAGCUCUAUAGUUCUGUUAUUAUUCACUAUAAACACCAAAUGGUAAAUGGUUUAGUUUUGUUGUAGAGGAGAGAGAAAAUAGUAGUAGUAGUAAUACAGUGCAUCAUUUUUUUCUCGUGUCUAAUUCUUUAUUGGGUUGGGUCUUAAUUUAUGGUUUUUGAUAAGUGAAAAAAUCCCAAAUAUUUAGAUAUCUCUUGUAAUUUUUGACAUUUAAAUCCCACGGUGUUUUACAGUCAUGCUAUUAGCAAGAGUAGUUCAAUCUCUGAAAUGUGAUUUAGCAGUAGUUAAUUUGAACACCCAUUUACGAUUCGGGUUUGGAUGGUUGUAUGACCUUGGUAGUUUAUUCAAUUAUUAUGAGUUGAAAUGCAAUUUGGAGCAAAGAUGAAAUAUGAUAAGGAAUGAUAAAAUCUUGGAAACGUGAUUUAAGUGAUCUAAAUGAGCCUGCUGGAAGGAAAUGUAAAGUUUGUGCAAUCUUAUUGUUUAUGUUGUAAAAACAUAAGAAGAGGUGAAUAUGCAUGCUAUUUGGAGACACCCAUAUCCAAUUAGAGUUUGGGAGAGCUUAAGAUUGGUAGUUGACAGAUGAAUGCAAUAUAGGAAAUGUGCUUAACAAGCUCGACUGGUGUUUGAAGAUGAUCAACGAUACUGAGAUUGAACAAUUGCUUGGUUGAUAUGGAAUAGCAGAAAUAAUGUAUGUGGGUCCUCUCCUCUUCACCCUACUGAAGUGGUAGAUGCUGCUAUCUCCUUGAAUGUAGCGUUUUGGGAAGCGAAGGAACAAAAGAGGGUGCUUUAGGUGUGGUGAAUAAUAUUGGACAUUAUAAGGACUUACAAUGGCUUUCUUCAGAGUUCGGUAUUUUGAUCAGCGUUCUAUGGCACACAGUAAUUAUGUCUCAAAGAUGAAGUACUAUAGCCUUAUGCAUUUGAUUAAUAGGUUGUUUGAAGAUGUAUUUUUCUUUAGAUCUUGUGUCAUUGUCUUAUUUUUUAUCCCAUGAAGCUUAUUGUUUAUGAUUAUAGGGAAGAGUUAAGAUGUACUCAUACAUCAUUAGUUAAAUAGCUCAUUUAUUGUAUAUGUUAUCUCCUCCAUUACAUGGUCUAAAGACUAUCUACUUGCAGGUAAAUAUACUAAUUUACAAAGCCUUUUGCCAGGGUGUGUUCAAUGAGAAUUUAGUACCUUUGAAAUA